rnacentral:rRNA from 1 species
UGAGGAAUAUUGGUCAAUGGGCGCGAGCCUGAACCAGCCAAGUCGCGUGAGGGAGGACGGCCCUACGGGUUGUAAACCUCUUUUGCCGGGGAGCAACGGGCGCCACGUGUGGCGCCACUGAGAGUACCCGGAGAAAAAGCAUCGGCUAACUCCGUGCC